rnacentral:lncRNA from 1 species
AAUCUAGCCUGGACUGCAGGAAAACAGUAACACUCGCUUUAGAAUAGCAGCCAAGUAUCAGGUCGACCCUGAUGCUAGCCUGAUUGGCUUAGGGUCCACUCAGACCCUAAAACCAGGUAUCAAACUGACGUUGUCAGCCCUGCUCGAUGGCAAGAACGUCAAUGCGGGAGGCCACAAGCUUGGCCUAGGACUGGAAUUUCAAGCAUAA